ACUAUGGAGAGUUUGAUCCUGGCUCAGGAUGAACGCUAGCGGCAGGCCUAAUACAUGCAAGUCGAACGGGUAGCAAUACCAGUGGCGCACGGGUGCGUAACGCGUAUGCAAUCUACCUUUCACUGGGGAAUAACCUUGGGAAACCAAGGCUAAUACCGCAUAAGACAGUAAUCUGGCAUCAGGAAGCUGUUAAAGAUUUAUCGGUGAAAGAUGAGCAUGCGUCUGAUUAGCUAGUUGGUGAGGUAACGGCUCACCAAGGCGACGAUCAGUCGGGGUUCUGAGAGGAAGAUCCCCCACA
rnacentral:rRNA from 1 species